rnacentral:sRNA from 1 species
GCCUUACCAGCCUCAAUCACUCUACCUUCCCAUCAGUCACCCGCCUGCUUUUCAAACCAUCACCAACUCAGUCAAGUUUACACAAUGGUUCAGGUUCAGAAUCAGAGUGAUGAAGCUUCAACAUUUGAUUUGCAGCAGCUUCAAUAUGCUCAAUGAUGGGAGGGCAAAAAUUGGUAUCCAACUGUAUUAUCCACCUCUUAAGAACUUCUUCUUGACUGCCAUUCAACAUUUGAUUGAUUGGAACCCUCAUUGUUCUUGAUUUCCUUCUGUUAAUUUGUCCAAUCAAGGUUGUAUAUGGAACUCCAAAUUCUCGCGCCAUUUUUGUGAUUUUCAAUUUUGGAUUGGAUUUUAGCAUGUCAACAGCCUUUUGAAGCUGAUCUUUAGUGUAUUUAGAAGAUUUAGACAUGGUUGUGGUGAUUAAUGAAUAUUUGAAGAUGAAGAAUGAUGAUAAUUAACAAUACUGCCGUUGCGGUGAUAUUACCAUUGCGGUGGGGCGCACUCACUAAUGGGAGGUAGUGAGAUGCGCUUGGCACGGUUAGUACUUUUCUCCCACUCUGACGAGUUUGGGAA